rnacentral:lncRNA from 1 species
ACACCCAUAUCCACCUGUAAAGGUAGACGCAAGAGCCCCACUGCUCAAUAAAAUGCGAACACAAUCAUGUCGCCUUUGACGACCUACCAAAUGCAGUGCGGUUGCACCGCUUCCAUCCCUUAUGUUAACAAAUCUCGAAAGUCACUUGACCUCUCGUUUGAGCACAAGAAUUAGUACUUCAUUUUUAAUAGACAAGCAUUGGGGUCAUAAAUUUAGAUAAGACAGCACAUGGAAGAAAUAGUCACCAAGAUUGCACAAUUGGAGUGGAAUGAGUAGCAGAAAGAAUCUACUGUAGGCAAUCUGAAUGACCAUAGUAGGCUGCAUGGAGAAUACAUAUGUAUGGUGUGUGACCUGAGAGAAGGACUAGAGCUCAAUGUGAGAAUGAGAGACCUGUGCUGCAUGGAGAAUGUCCCCAUGUAGCAUUAACUCCAUGCUACAUGGAGCAACUGACACGACCUGUCCCGACUCAACCUAAUUAACUCGAUAUGUGUCGUGCGACGAUGGUAGAUGCCAGCUAAAUGUCGGACCCACCACCAAGGCAAACUUGACCUAUUUGACUGUACUAUAAUUUUAUGAAAAUUUUAACAGAGUUUCCCCUUAAAAAUGGACAAAACCAACCUGAAAAUGAUCAAAACCUCAAAUAGACAUUCAAACCAAAAGUUUUGGAAACCACCACUUCCACUAAUACCACCACAACUAAAACAAAAUAUAACAAAAUUUGACUGAGUGCUUCUACAACAUCAUGUCUACAUGCAAGCAUUACAUUAAUUACAAAUCCUUCUACAAAGUGCAUGACACUCCAAAUAUUAGACAAAGUACUUAAUAAACAUGAGUCCCCCAACAAUUCAUUACAUACUAUGAAACGGUCUCUUUUGUUUCAGUAGACUUUUCCAAGUAUCUCAAAAUUAACGGUCUCCUGAUAGGAAAAACAUGACAAAAAUAUGAAUUCGUAACUCAGUGAGUGGAUGAUUUGCAAUUAAGUAAACUUUUUCCAUUUAUGCAUAUUUUCUAAAAAUGUUAACUUUAUUAAAUCCUUGAGAAUUUCUGAAUAUUGUAAUACUUUUAAAAACUAUAACAUGAUUACAUUAUAAAAUUCUUUGUUCUAAAUUCUAGAUAAGUAUCUGUAAGGUAUAACAAAUAUAAGAAAUUUGAUAUUCAUGAAAAUCUAUGAAAUAUUGCUGCUGCUCAAUACUAUAAGCUGAAAGCUUUAUUUUGAAAACUGAAUUAACUGAAUUUCAUAAUUUGAAAUCUGAGAACUGAAUAAAUACUGAAAAAUCACACCACAAAGAGUAUCCAAUGAAUAGCCUUACUCAUGUACAGAGUAAUCUCGAUGUACAAGGCAAAGCCAUUCAAAUCUGAUAAUCUGGUCAUACGUACGCAGAGCUGCUCCAAAGGCUAAUCACCCUAAUACACGGUCCAAAGCCUAUGUGUGUACGAGAGUGGGUCCCAAAGACCUCCGAUAAUUUGGUCAUACAUUAUGGAAACACAUUCACGAUAGUGCAGAGCGGGUAAAAUCACUAUAACUAGUCAUACACUGCGAAAACACAUUCACAUCAGUGCAAAUUGGGGUAAAAUCACCUGGGUACUUUCUGGUGGUUUUUAGAAAUAACUUUAACUAUACUGAAACAUGGAAUAAGAAUAUAACAUGCUACUAAAAUAAUUUAACUGAACUGAAUUUAACUUUAAAAAAAAUUGAUAAUAAAAUCCAUUUUAUUCUGAAAAUCAUGCUAUGAAGUCAACUUUAUAAAAUAAAUAACUUUAAAAUUUAAAGAAGACUUAUUUUUGAAAAAUAAGUUUUAUCCACUCACAAGGUAGGAGCUACAAGCUAAAUUGCUUGAUAAACGUUUCCAAUUUCUUUGUCACCACCUGAAAUACGAUAUUAAUAACUAAUUUAUCCUCUAUCUAAUCAAGAAACCUUAAUAUCUAAUGAUAGAACUUAAUUUAAAUUCUCUUGACACUUGAGUAAAUUCUCAAAUUUUCUUUUGAUCAAUUGGAG